rnacentral:rRNA from 1 species
GAUGAACGCUAGCUACAGGCUUAACACAUGCAAGUCGAGGGGAAACGACAUCGAAAGCUUGCUUUUGAUGGGCGUCGACCGGCGCACGGGUGAGUAACGCGUAUCCAACCUGCCCACCACUUGGGGAUAACCUUGCGAAAGUAAGACUAAUACCCAAUGAUAUCUCUAGAAGACAUCUGAACGAGAUUAAAGAUUUAUCGGUGAUGGAUGGGGAUGCGUCUGAUUAGCUUGUUGGCGGGGUAACGGCCCACCAAGGCUACGAACAGUAGGGGUUCUGAGAGGAAGGUCCCCCACAUUGGAACUGAGACACGGUCCAAACUCCUACGGGAGGCAGCAGUGAGGAAUAUUGGUCAAUGGGCGAGAGCCUGAGCCAGCCAAGUAGCGUGCAGGAUGACGGCCCUAUGGGUUGUAAACUGCUUUUAUAAGGGAAUAAAGUGAGCCUCGUGAGGCUUUUUGCAUGUACCUUAUGAAUAAGGACCGGCUAAUUCCGUGCCAGCAGCCGCGGUAA